rnacentral:lncRNA from 1 species
ACAAGGAUGGACUCUGGUCCCCAAGUGUCACCUCCCUGCUGGUGUGGGGACAAGGACAGUGCCCCAGGACUGUGUCCCCUCCCUGCUGGUGUGGGGUCAAGGAUGGACUCUGGUCCCCAAGUGCCACCUCCCUGCCAUCACAGGGAGGACAGGAUUGGGGACAAGCUCCUGUCCCCAGGUGCCACCUCUCUGCUGUCACAGCCUUGGGGACACCACCAAGUCCAGGACAAGCUCCUGUCCCCAGGUGCCACCAACCAGGGCCUGGGGACACUUGUGGUGACACUGGGGACCCCCAGGACCCUCCAAACUCCCCAGGACCAGGAGCCCCCUUGUCCCCCCCAACCUGGGUGGCACUGGGGACAGCCAUGUCCCCUCUCCCAUGGGUUGGUGGCACUGGGGACAGCCGUGUCCCCUUUCCCAUGGGUUGGUGGCACUUGGGGACAGCCGUGUCCCCUCCCCCCCGGGUGGGGGAGGGGCUGUACAGCCGUGUAUAGACCCUGUAAAUAAAGGACCCGCGGGACUGGGACCGGUGUGACACCUUGGGGACAAUGGGGACACGGGAGGGACACCAAGUCACGCGAGUGACAGGGGUAAUGUGGGUGACAUGGGGGUGACACUGUGACACGAGGGUGACACGGGGAUGGCAUGGGUGACAUGGUGACAUGGGGGUGACACUGAGACAUGGGUG